CUCUUAGUUAUGUCCAUAAAGACCACGUUUUGUAGAAAAUCCUAAUUUUCUGUGUAAUUGUAAUAUUUAACAUGUAGCUAUGUAUGUAGCUGUGAGACCAUUUGGACUGUUAAUUUAGCAGUUCAAUUUCUUACAUUCAGGGGUUGUAUGAUUUUAUAAAUGACAGUGCCUUUACAUAAAUUGUCUAUGUAGGCUAUACUUAUUCAAUGAAUAUGACUCCAAGGUCUAAAAUCUGCCCAAUCUUUCUCUAAUUCUCUCCUCAAUUAUAACAGUGGCAUUGUUAAACAAAUAAAGUUGUGAUUGACAAACUUAGACCACUGUGAAGAGUAAUCCAUUUUGUAUGACCUCAAAACCUUAAACCUAAAAACUAUCAUCAAUUCAUUGGUACAAAGUUUGUAUUUCUAUUUGUUACAUUUAUGAGAUUUAAAUAUUAAAAACAAACCACAUCUCAUAUGCCCAUUAAGAUGAUUAAUACAAUGGAAGUUAUGUGCACAGUAGUCAUUAUUCUCUGAAGAAGAAAAAUAAAGAAAAAAUAUUCACACUGAGUGAAAGUUUAGUUCUGAUAAAUGUAUUGGUUAUUUAUUGGACAAAUGCAGUGAAGCAUAAAAAAUACAUUCUUGAAUGCCAUCAUCAACAAAAUAAGCAAAACACGCAACAGUAAUCACUGUGAUUAACACAAUCUGUCAGUCGAAAUGGGUUCCCACACAAUAGGUAUGCUCCAUUUCCAGCAGGUGUGUGGCAAGAAAAUCUUGUUAUGCAAUUGGGCAUAUAAGGCACCUGCAGAACCUGGUUUUGACCAGCAACAAUUGAUGAAGUCAUAGUUACCGUGAGAGACGACAAACGUGCCAUCAAAUUACAUGUGAGCAGAGAAACUGCUGAAAGACUUGAUAACUGAUAACAAGUGUGCCACUAGCAUACUGGAGCAAAUAAGAGCUGCAGGACACAAUCAAGUAAACCCAAGCAGUGUUGUCACCCAGCCUCCUGUCUUCCCCACUCCUCAACCUCCAACAGUCACCCAGAGCCCCACUCCUAUUCUCCAGCCCCGAGUUUCCACCACCCUCACUCAGAAUUCUGCUGACCAGGACAUGCCAACACCUAUACAACUGGAACAAAAUAGCCUUUUUACAAGAAAAUGGAACAAGCCUUCAUUGCUAAAGGACACACAUUCACAAAUGGAAGAAAUGAGGAGAAAACUGGGCAACAUGCUCACCACACACAAAAGGGCUAAAGACAGAUCUCAGGCAACAGGAGAAGGCAAAAUUACCUGAGAAUAUUACUCACAAAUGGAUGAAUUAUUUGGUGGCUCCGGGGUGGGGAGUGGACCACUGGGCACCAUUAUUUCCACACUACUCUUGCCCAGUCAGACUCCCCAGUCUUUAUCUGUGAACAACCAUGUGAAAUUGAAGAUCAACAGCCUAGUCCCUCAACUGUCAUUCACACCUCACGAGUGACUGGUCAAAAAAGGGCAACAGCCGACCACCAUUUACCAGUCCCAUGCUGAGUGGAGGACAGCUGCACUGGAGUCACUGGUGAGGCCGUAAUUGGCAAGGUGGAGGAGGAUUUGAAAAGAAAAUGCUCAUAUACAUGGGUCAAAUAUUGACCCAAUUAAAAGGAGAUUGGGAAACAGCAACAAGAAAUAACCAAGUUACUAAAACAAAGCAACACAAAAUAAAAACGUUGAACGGUA